rnacentral:rRNA from 1 species
AGCGAACGCUGGCGGCAGGCCUAACACAUGCAAGUCGAACGAACUCUUCGGGGUUAGUGGCGGACGGGUGAGUAACACGUGGGAACGUGCCUUUUGGUUCGGAAUAACUCAGGGAAACUUGUGCUAAUACCGAAUGUGCCCUUCGGGGGAAAGAUUUAUCGCCAUUAGAGCGGCCCGCGUCUGAUUAGCUAGUUGGUGAAGUAACGGCUCACCAAGGCGACGAUCAGUAGCUGGUCUGAGAGGAUGACCAGCCACACUGGGACUGAGACACGGCCCAGACCCCGACGGGGGGCGGCGGUGGGGAUUCUUGCGCAAGGGGCGAAAGCUGGACCCAGCCAGGCCGGGUGAAGGAUGAGGGUCUUGGGAUUGAAAAUUUUUUGCCCGGGGGACUAUAAGGACGGGCCCCGGAAAAGAAGCCCCGACAACUUUGGUC